rnacentral:guide_RNA from 1 species
AAUCUAAUAACGGAAAUUUGUAUAUGGUAGUAGAAGUGAUAGUUAUAUGA